AGCAAAUGAUCCCCCCAACAUAGCGAAAAUGCAAAGCUGGUCUUCCUGUGGAAUAUAUAUUUGUUUCCGGUUUUCGAUCGAUGGCAACUGGAUUCAUCACAUUUCUCCUGCUACUAGGUGGAUGCUUUGAUGUGAUGGACGUCUUGAAUCGGUUGGCAAGCCUUGCGAUAUUCAUUCAAAUGCUAUCAUUGGCAUUCACACGAGCGCAAAGUAAAGAUGUGUUCGUAUCUCAAAUGAAAGGAAACGACAUCUCAUCGUGUGGUUCUGACUCGAACCCAUGUAAGACCAUUUCAAUGGGRAUACGRCAAGCGAACGAAUAUGCACGAAUAUACGUGGAUGGCGAAGGAUCAUCAGCAAAGCCCUACACUUGCAAAUCGCCCAGUUUAGAGUUUSCAGGAAUUUAUACCAACAAGAAUCUGGAAAUCAUUGGUGUCCGGUCAAUCGUAUACGUCAAAUGUCAAGAGGGGUACGGKAUAAAAUUUGAUAAGUCCGACCAGAAUGAGACCAUGGUUAGUGUUAGCAAUGUCAAGUUCAUCAAUUCUACCAUACAAGCUCAGGAUAUAGGUCUUAAUGUAACGAACUGUAUCUWUACUGAUGGAGUUCAAGCUAUGAAUGUGGUUCAGUUUAGUAGGCCCAUUACCGUUUCUUUUUCUGAGUCCCUGUGCGUCAAUAUCAGUUCUUGCAUUGCAGUGAAUGUKAACAAGAAUGUCGYUCCAUUAAAUAAAACAWUCAUUUCCUUAGAAAACAGCAGCAUAUUAAAAUCAUGGCCGCAGAAAGGCCCUUCGUUGCAAGCAUCAGGAAUUCACGUAACGUCAAGCGGUAAAUAUGAUCCUGGUUCAAUCACGUGUAACAUUGCACUCACAAAUGUAACUUUUAAAGACAACACGAUAGCAGAAAAUGGCUUAAUMUUUGUUAAUUUGAAGAAUGCAGUCACGGUGUUAUAUCUUUAUCAUWGUUUCUUUCUUGAGAGCAAUAUUACAGCAAACUUUGCGAGUAUUAUAAAAAUCAAGAACACCUUUAUCAAUAGCAUGAWUCUGUUCGACACAACUUUUUGUCAGAAUUAUCAAGGAUUUUCAAGUGCAAUAGACAUCAGCACCAACAGAAGUACUGUGCACAUUUCCAAGACUCGAUUUGRAAAGUUCAAWGUGGGAUUUGAUUUUGCAGUGUUACAUUUGCAAUCUGAGAAGGACUGUAACUUAACUAUGACAAAUGUCACGUUUGCUGAAAACAUUAAGGAAGGUAUGGAAGGAGGAAAUGGAGGRUGUUUAUCUCUUCGUAGUCGCACYGCAAUCGUGAAGGUUCAAGGYUCGUACUUUUACAACAACCGGGCUGGAUGCGCAGGAAUUUUUUUGCUAAAUGUAAAAGAUCAUGUGUCUGUAGGCAUUCAAAACUGCUUCUUCACGUCAAACGCAGCAUUCGGGCCCGGAGGUAUAGCUAAUAUCCAAGGUAAAGAAGCAAUCGUUGAAAUGUUAGAGUGCAACGUGAAAGGCACCAUUACUAAUGAACCAGGCGGGCUUUUUGACAUUGGAAAUAAGGGCUGUGGUCGUUCUAAGAAUAUGUACAAUGCAACUUUAGUUAUCCAAAGUACUGAAAUAGUUUCGAGCGGUAGUUUGAGAGGUGAAGGUGGAGUCGCAGCAAUUCUAGCGAACUUCGGUUCAAUUACGAUACAAGACAGUACGAUAACCAAUGUAUCAUCAUUAGUAGAAGGUGGAGUUAUCUGUGCAAGGUGGUCUUUUAAUUACCCACCCUACGACCCCGAGGAAGGAUAUAACAUAAGAAUAAUCAAUUCGACGUUUAGCAAUAUUCGUAAUAGAGGAUCAACGGGAGUACUAUUGUAUUCUAACGGUAUUAAAAGCCUUGAAGUAGAGAGUUCAAUACUUCAUACCAUUUCAUCGGGGGGAACAGGAAGUACCAUCUAUCUUGACUCGACUCAAAACGCUUCAAUUUCCAUCAACAAUACGUCAAUAAAAAACUACACGGGUUAUGGUUCCGCGUUAACKAUUUUUAUAACAGCAAAAGUGACUUUGAGAGUAGCAAACUCUAUUUUCGAGUCGAACACAGCUCUUGAAGGUACAGGGGCCUGUAUGUCCAUGACCACCGUAUCUGGUGACGUGCUCUUUUGGAACGUAACAUUCAAUCAUUGCAUCAGCACGACUAAAAUGGGGGGCGCUAUGUAUUUUACAAUGCCAAGAGGCAAGAUUUCUAUUAUAUCGAGCAGAUUCUUGAAUAACAGAGCAGAAAAUGGGGGAGCACUUGCAUUCAGUAUGUUAAUAGAUGAACUAAUAAAACCUGCAUGUAAUGGCGGGCAUAGAACAUGGAAUUAUAAAACACAUGUGCUAAUUGAAAACUCAUUCUUUAUCAAUAACACUGCCUUCGAAGGUGGUUCGCUAUCCUUUUCCAGAGGCAAUCACACUAUCCAAAGAAGUUUAUUUGUCGAUAACUUUGCAAUGGGUCGAGGUGGGCACAUUUCUAUGACUUCAGAUUCAACAAGUCUACGAAUAACUGGCUCCGAAUUUCAACAGAAAAAAUUAAAAAAAGUCGUUUACUUUCGAAACAWCGUAGACAAUAGUCAAAACGUUGAAUCGCACGAGAAGAAAGAGAUCUAUGGUUUGAGUGUUGGCUCCUUUAUUAGCUCACAAAGUCAAGGGCCAUUGGUGAUUCUAAAUUCAACUCUAGAAUCUAUGUUGUACAGUAAUGAAGAACCCCAAGAAUUGGUCUUUAUUUCAAAUGGUAAUUACAUAAAUUUUGGCGAAAAUAACCAAACCGUAAUCAAAUGCCCAAAAGGAAGUGAUAUCARYACACAGAGUUACACCUCMAAAAUAGCCACAGAGUAUAAAUCAAMACCAUGCAAUAUCGAUGUGAGGUUCUUGAUCUUUACCUGUAAACCAUGCCCAACAGGCAAAUAUAGUCUACAGCAUGGCCAAAGUAUGGGAAUGACUAAGGUCAGCGGUUUUAAGUGUUUGCCAUGCCCAUUCGGAGCUGAAUGUCAAAACAGACUGAGAGCAAAACCGAACUAUUGGGGAUACAAAGUCAAAGAUAAUCCGCCAGAAAUGAACUUCACUGCUUGUCCUUCAGGUUAUUGUAAAAGACCAGAUACCGAGGACUUUAAUGAGUUUAACAGUUGCCAAGGCAACAGAAAUGGUACGCUAUGUGGUCGAUGUAAAAAUAACUAUUCUGAAACUCUCGUGUCACCAUCUUGUCGUCUUGACGACGAAUGUCAUGACAACUGGUUAUGGGGUGUGAUGGUUUCCAUGGUAAUGUUAAUGGCGCUGUACUCGAUCUAUAAGCCAAAUAUCCCGAGCAUGCUCAAGAGACAUAUUUUGUGGUUCCAAUGUCGUCAUGGAAACAAASACGAUGACACAGGCAGCAGUGGAUWCUUAAAAAUUGUUUUCUACUUUUACCAAGUGGCAAACUUGGUUCUCGUUACAACUUCAAGUCACAACGUCAUCAAGUCGUACUUUUUGCAACCAGUGGUGGGAAUUUUUAACUUCCAAUUCGCUUUGGGCCCUCGAACGGUCUGCUUUGUCCUUUACCUGGUCUUACUGCUGUAACUAAACAGCUUCUCUUUGCCAGUCAAGUGUUUGGAGUCGUCUUCAUGAUUGCUGUAUGCUACUGCUGCCAUCGGUUACUGCGCAAAUGCAGGUCCAGGCCACCUCCAAACCUUGGACCCUACCUCGCUGCUGUUCUGGAAACCGUGUUGCUAGGAUACGCUGUAUAUACAACCACCGCCCUUAAACUGUUGCGAUGUUCGUCAUUAGACGGAGAUUUACGACUGUUUAUCGAUGCYAGUGUGAAGUGUUACYARUGGUGGCAGUACCUACUGAUGGUMUUUGCUGGACUCGUCGUAUUUCCUUUCAUUCUUACACUCGCAGUUGGUUCUCAAUGGCUUUACAAAGGAACUAUUUCUGUUAAGGAAUUUCUCCUUGGUUGUCUUCUUCCUCUACCUUACUUGAUGUACAAGCUGAUUUCAUUGUUGCGUGGACCCCACGUAGUAAACGAAGAACCACGCGAGUGGAAAGUGUCAGUCACAAGCGUGUUGUAUGGCCCCUUUCGAGCUCCGCAAGAUAAAAGCAUUGGUGCCGUGUAUUGGGAAAGCAUCUUGAUAUCCAGGAAACUACUUAUCAUUGCAAUCUACGUGUUUAUCACAGAUCCCUURACCAGGCAGCUCUCGUUAGUGUUAGCUUGUGUUAUAAUACUCUUCCAUCACAACACUGUGCGACCAUUUCAUCGGAUGGAUGCCAAUAUCUGUGAAACGAUCUCCUUGUUUGGCCUUAUUAUCAUAGCAACGAUUAACGCUUUCAAAGCAAGYUUUCUCUCGAUUGGAGAAGAACCAGGAGGYCCACUACAAACAUUGAUACAAGUCUUGGAAUGGGUCCAAAUAGUCAUAUUAAUUACUCUUCCUGSUCUUUGCAUUUUAGCUGUUAUAGCAGCCAUUUUGUCCCAAUUAAUUCGAUUGAUUGUCAAAAUCUGUUCUUUUAUCAAGUGGGUUGUGACGCGUGACCGUCACGUGACUGAUUGCGAAAUUCGACAUUUACUCGAAUCCAGUGCAAGUGAUGAAUCUGAUAAACUUUGUCAAUGAUUUGUCUGUCCUCGCUGAUCUAUGAACUAUAUAAUCAACUGGAAUAUCUAUAGGGCUAGGACUGAAGAAAGACUACAUAAAUAGGUGAUUACUAUGUGAUGCAAUUCCCCAUUUAAAUUGACUGUAGACUUAAACAGCUAUCAAACAUAAUAUUGAAACCAUGACUUACCGCCUUACCAUCCGUUGGUUGCACGCCUAACGAAUCUCUUCAGUGUAGAAUCUCAUUUUGCCAUCCAAUGAAGCUGCUGCAAGCUUAAAAAGUUAUCAUCUCGUUACACAUUGUUCGMAAGUGAUGCAGAAUGCAAUGGAGAAGAAAAUGGUUUAGAAGACACAGACAAWCGAGAGAAUAUAAAAUGAGUAAAUGAAAAAUAAAUGAGAAGUAGUAAUYAUAUGCAAAUCA